CUUCACUCUCUGGUGGUGUUGAUGGACAGGAUCAGUUUAUGAACAGUGGAAACACAGGUGACGGUAUUGACUACAGCCAGCAGAAAAGGGAGAACAUUGGAGACCUGAUCCAGGAGACGCUUGAGGUGUUUGAACGCUACGGGGGCGAGGAUGCCUUCAUCAACAUCAAAUACAUGGUGCCCACCUACGAGUCCUGC